AUGAGUUUUUAUGGUCUUUGUUGGUUUUUGAUUAACAAAGUUACCUAAAACUUCAUCCUUUGUUUAUACAAACUGUAUACUUUGGCAAGACGCUUUGACUUGUAGUUGAAGUUUGACACUAGUUGAGCGACGCCACAAGAAAAAGCCACUGACGUCAUUUACUUGACAGUGAGUGUGUUUGCUUGCCAAAGGUUUAACUCUUUUAUACUGUUGUCUGAGUACUACAAAAAUAAAUUA
rnacentral:misc_RNA from 1 species